GUCUAUGGCCAUACCACCCUGAAAGUGCCCGAUCUUGUCUGAUCUCAGAAGCUAAGCAGGUUCAGGCCUGGUUAGUACUUGGAUGGGAGAAUAUUUAAUAGAAGCACUAGUAAAAUAUACU
rnacentral:rRNA from 1 species